UUGAUCUUGGAGGUCAAGUACAAAUCUUUCACUUAGAUUUCAACUCCCUUGUAUAUACAAGGUUCAUAGGUGAGCUAGAUGUAAACUAUUAGUAUCAACAUAUGGUUAGGCUUAAAUUUCUUUUAGAAGAGUAUCAAAGUUUUCUUAUUGAUGUUUGGGUUCAGAACUUUUCCCAAUUCGGUUUCUCCUAAAUUCAUUUAAAGGUCUAUAAGCACCUAAAAAUGGAUACCGUAAAAAUCGCGGGAUAAGCAUUAGUUUUGUUAGGGACAGAAUAAGUACAACUUAGUUUCGGGAGAACCGAAAAAGUGAGUUUUAGUCAUUUCUCUAUUAACCAGUUUAGCUGAACCUAUUCAAUGAGGCAUGGCAUGACAUAUAUCGGCUUAAGUAAAUAUGCCUCCAUCACUUACUCUGUUUUGCUUCUAAUUUCUUUCAUAUCAGCAGCAUGGUUGUUAACAACUGAGAUAGAUGCUGCUGCAAGGAACCUUGCUGGAAGCUUUGUGUUCCUUGAAGUGAUGCAAUUCGAGCAUAUCUAGUGGCUUUUCUUGGUAUAAAAAAUGUAAAAAGUUAAUGGGGAUAAAAGCCACGUCAAAGGGUAAUACCGUUUGAGGUUUCUUAAGCACGCUCUCUUGGCUGAAAUGGCAUGAGAUGACUAGCGGUCGAAAGUAUUCUAGCCAGCUGGCUGGGCACAUCAUCGUCGUCGUCAUCAGAAGACAUAUCACUGUUGUUGAUGGUGUUUGAUAUUUCGUGUAUGAAUAAACCAGAUGAUAGAUGUUGUGUGGUCGGGAGUGGUCUCUUUUCCUCUUAUCUUCAACAACUGAUAAGAUUAGUGUAGGCUAAAUUCAGAAAGCUUAUCGUAUAGAUGACCUCUGUCCUGUGACAUAUUACUUGUUUGAUUGACAUAUACAUACCUCUUUUACCUUUAUCAUAUAGAUGACCUCUGUCCUAUGACAUAUUUUAAUCAGAUGCACCAAGGAUAUUCGAUCCUUCUUCUGGGCAGAAAUAUGCAACUUCAUUCAUCAGAUGUUCGAAUCAUCAUGGUCCAUUGAAGCUAUUGAAUUUUUUCUUCAUCUAGAUGUUGCUAUAUUGGUCCGCACAACAAUGAAAAUUAAUAGUGUUUCGAAGCGUGUGAAUUGAAGAUAAUUGACUCACAACAUUGACAUUUACCCCCUACCCCCCCAACAAUCUGGCUAUACCACGUCUCCUUUUUUCUGGUGGGCUUCUUAUUCAUUGGUUGAUUUGUUUGUUUAGGUUAGGAUAAAUGGCGAUUGUUGCAGAUAAUCUGGUCAAGGAAAUUGUCAAGAAGAAUAUAUACUUCCUAAUCUAGUAGUUAGCAAAAGCAAUGCCAAGGACUGGUAAACAAGAAGAUUUUGACAGUGCAGAGCAAACUGCUGAUAAGGGGAAGACUCUUGUCCCCUUGACAGCCGCCGCAUGCUUUUUUGACCGGUUUAAGGAUGACCAACCCGGAGCGUGAGGAAGACAUAUAACUUGGCAGCUACAAAACAACAAGAAAUAGGUGAAGAGGACCGUGCAUGAAUGAAAAUGUCAGGUUUACCUGGGAAGAUGCGCGUAUGAGGCGAGGAUCUGUCCAGCACAGAUGGGAGGUGGAUCAGAUGCAAUUAGGAGGCCUCCGGCGAUGGCUGCGACAACACCCGACGAGGAAAGACGACAACAGUUUGGAGGCCUCCGACGAUGGUUGUGACAGCACGAGGCGAACAGAGGCAACAUCACAGUUUGGAGGCCUCUGGCGAUGGCUGCGACAACAUCGGGCGAGAAUAGGCGAGCAUCAUAGUUUGGAGGCCUCCGACUUUGGCUACGACGGCACCUGGUGACGAUAGGCGAUGGAUCGGUUGAGGAGGCGGCACCAGGCGAGGGGAGUUUGGUGCUCGGGUGAAGAGGAGGUGCAUGAAGGUUGGAUGACUUGGCUUUUGGAAAUAACUGGCAAGGUCCAUCUAUUGGGACGUGCCUUAUUGGGUCUUGAACUGUAUUUUUGUGCGUGCUUUUGCCCUGUUGUGUAGAUGAGUGAUACGUCUUCAUCGUAUCUACUUUUCCAAACUCUUUUGCCCUUGUUUUGAA